CACACCGCCCGUCACACCAUGGGAGUUUGUUGCACCAGAAGCAGGUAGCUUAACCGCAAGGGGGGCGCUUGCCACGGUGUGGCCAAUGACUGGGGUG
rnacentral:rRNA from 1 species